rnacentral:rRNA from 1 species
AUAUUGGACCAUGGGCGAAAGCCCGAUCCAGCCAUGCCGCGUGUGUGAAGAAGGGNCUNNGAUUGNANAGCACUUUAAGCUGGNNNNNAGGGCAGUAAUUUAAUACCUUUCUGCUUUGACGUUCACGACGGAAUAAGCACCGGCUAACUUCGUGCCAGCAGCCGCGGUAAUACGAAGGGUGCAAGCGUUACUCGGAAUUACUGGGCGUAAAGCGCGCGUAGGUGGUUUGUUAAGUUGGAAGUGAAAGCCCCGGGCUCAACCUGGGAACUGCUUUCAAAACUGGCAAGCUAGAGUAUGGCAGAGGGUGGUGGAAUUUCCUGUGUAGCGGUGAAAUGCGUAGAUAUAGGAAGGAACACCAGUGGCGAAGGCGACCACCUGGGCUAAUACUGACACUGAGGUGCGAAAGCGUGGGGAGCAAACAGG